CCAAAACAAAAAGAGGUACUACUUUGGAAGCACAAAGAAAGAGAACAAAGUGGAUUAGGCAAAUCUCUAAGAAUGCAGUGACAUUUGAGAUGAGUGUUGAAGAAAGAAGGUAGAAGCCAGUGACCGAGGUGAAGCAAUGGUGCUCUACAGGGAAUGAGAAGCACAAAACUCCUAAGAAAUGCUGGGUUGUUUAGGGAAACAUGAGAACAUUAGGAAGUCUAUGAACUUGACUCAAGUUCUAACCUCAGUACUUCUUUCAAUAUGUCUUUGAAUAUAUUUUUCAUAAUCUAGAGAAUAUUCUUUUGUUAGAGACUUACACUUGAACAAAACUUUGACUAGAUAUAAAACUCUGAGUUCAUUGAUAUUUUCUUUAAUGUUUUAAUCAUUUUGCCCGAGUCUUCUGGCAUACAUUCCCCUUGAAAAGAGCAGACUUUGAAAAGUCUGAUGCCAAUCAGAUUCAGAUUCCUGGACUACAAUCAGAGCAGCACAGGAGGCCUGCUGGGUGACAGCUAUGGAGAACAAGCUUAGUACAAGACUGAGAGGCAACAACUUAAAAAAGAAAAAAAGAAUCUAAAUCCAAAAAGGCUCACUGUUCUGGCUCAGAUACCAUGGCAAGUGGGAUUCAUCAAAUGACUGAAGAGGAAAAAGAGCAGACUACCUCAGAACAGUGACCUAUCAAGUCUGGCUCUGUGGAAAGCUCACAUCCUCACUGUGUCAGCAAGAUGAAGAGAGCAGGAGGAGGCGCCGAACACUUACUAGGUUGCAAGAGGGACAACAGAGCCCUAUCAUUUUUAUAAUGGCAAUUGUCACUCUAAAUAUAACCUUGAUGCUAUGACUCAGAAUGUUUGUCAUCUAAUCACAAGCAAAGUUAGCCACCACUUGUAAGGAAAAGCUC
rnacentral:lncRNA from 1 species